UACGGGGGGAGCAAGCGUUGUUCGGAUUUACUGGGCGUAAAGGGUGCGUAGGCGGUUGCACAAGUCAGUUGUGAAAUCUCCGGGCUUAACUCGGAAAGGGCAACUGAUACUGUGCAGCUAGAGUGCAGAAGGGGCAACUGGAAUUCUCGGUGUAGCGGUGAAAUGCGUAGAUAUCGAGAGGAACACCUGCGGCGAAGGCGGGUUGCUGGGCUGACACUGACGCUGAGGCGCGAAAGCCAGGGGAGCGAACGGG
rnacentral:rRNA from 1 species